rnacentral:rRNA from 1 species
UACGUAGGGGGCAAGCGUUGUCCGGAAUCAUUGGGCGUAAAGCGCGUGUAGGCGGCCUUGUAAGUCCGUUCCGAAAGUCCGGGGCUCAACCCCGGGAGGCGGAUGGAUACUGUCGGGCUCGAGUCCGGAAGAGGCGAGUGGAAUUCCUGGUGUAGCGGUGAAAUGCGCAGAUAUCAGGAGGAACACCAAUGGCGAAGGCAGCUCGCUGGGACGUGACUGACGCUGAGACGCGAAAGCUAGGGGAGCGAACGGG